CAUUGUUUUCUUCAUUGUGGUCUAUUUUGAGUGUUCGGUGUUGGAGAUUAAUAUAUCUACAUCGGGUGGGUCUCUAUGGGUCUGGGUUUGCGAGUCAAGUGGUUCUAAGUUUACGAGUAUCUUUGUAUUUUCCGUUGGUGACCAGAAUUUCCAGCAGCAUAUUCGGCUCUGUUGGCAUCUCUGACCGGUACUGUUCUUCUUCCAGCCGCAACUUCUUUCUUCCAUUACUGUCAAUUUAGACCAUUGGAAUGACAUUAUCCAGUAAAGUCCCCAAAUAUCCUCCUCAGACUAUAUGAAAAUGGGAAAUCGCCUUUUCAGAAUAGGAUCAUGAACCACAAUUGGUUUUUUUGUAAUCAAAAAUAGGACCCUUGAAAGAAGGAUUAGGCUCGGAUGUGUGGGAUUCUUUGGAGAAAUCAUACCUUGGAGUGUUUUUAAAUCUUAAUGAAUUGGAAUACACAUGGUGCACAAAGUAUGUUCAUUACUUGCUCACGCAUCAGCUUAGAGUCAACAACUUCCUUGAGGUUUGGUCGUUGAUUGAUGAUAGGCCCAUCAUAUUUUAUUUAAAUGAAUUUACGUAUAUAACAUGUUUGAACUGUGAUCCAUUUGACGUCUCAGAAAACUUCGAUGGUGAUCACCAUGAGUUUUGGGCAAAAAUGAAAAUAGAAAACACACUGAAGGUCCGAAGUUUAAUGAAUUGCUAAAGGUGAUUGAUUUUUGCAAGACAUGGACUACUGAGGAGAGGAUUAUGGUUGGUAGGUUAUGUUUACUAUCUGUUUGUGUACAUGGUCUACAUAGUGGAUCUAGCAUCCCGUUGGCAUCCGCUAAAAAAGUGUUGGAUCCGGUUGCUUUUGAGAAAUAUCUGUCGGGUCGAGUGGCGUUUACUAGUUUAGUUAAUUUUGUCAAGAUAGCUGACUUUGACAAAUCAUCAUACACGAUACAAGGAUGUGUUCAUGCUUUGUUGAUUUGGUUAUAAGAGAGUGUUCUAGGCAUUGGAGAAGCUUAUGGUUUGAGAAGGUUAGAAACCGCUGGUGUUCCACUACCGAAUUGGCAAUCUUCUCGGAAACGUAUUAACUUUAAAGAAUUCAUGAAAAGGAGAAGAAAGAGCAUGGACAGGCAUAUGCUUCCAGUUUCAAAGGAUAACAUGUAUCCUACAUGGUGCGACACUGAUGACAACAAUGAUCCAGACCUAGAAAACCUAAUUGAAGAUAUUUUUCAUAAUUGUUUAAGAGCCAAUGCUUGGGAAGGAUUGAAAACAGUCAAUGUGAGGAAGAAGAAACGAAAAGUAAAAGAUGUUGAAGAUGGUGAGAUUAGAAGGAAAAGAAGUUGAAAGAGGUUCACUCUUGUGAUGAGGAAGGAGCAGAAGUUCAAGACAUGAAGGAGAAGUUACGCAAAUAACAUAUGAAGAAAACCUUGUUGGAUAUUUGGAAGCUGUUGGAAAACUGAAUGAGAAUAUUUCAGAUGUAGCACAUGAAACUAGGAAAACGGUUAUAAUGUAGCACAUGGUUCCUGCAAUGGCUAUGUUUCAAAAACGGUUGAUGCGUGAUCCAUGUUUGUAACCUAUGCAACGCAUAGCCUUCUUGAAUCAAGAUUUUAUCACGAAGUUAGGAAAAGAUUACAAUCAGUUUGCUGAUGAACCUAGGAAUUUCUUGUUCAGGAAAUCCUAUCAAGAGAACUUCAACGGAACAGCUCCCAUUGAUUCAGUAAGAAACAAGAAGUGGUUCAUUGAUGUUGAUCACUUAUACGCUUGUCUUCUUGUCAAUGACAAUCAUUGUGUGGCUCUGCAUAUUGACUUGCGGAGUAGGAAAAUUAAUGCUUAUGAUAGCAUCCCCAGUUUGGUGAUAGAUUCAGACAUGGUUAAAUGUUGCAUGCCUUUAAAACAAAUGAUCCCUGCAAUGUUAAGUGCUUUUGUUCUUGAGGAUAUCUGAAAGAAAAAAUUUGCGAUGUUAGAGGUGAGAAGAGUGAAAAGAAAUGUUCCAUUGAAUGAAAAUCCAUGAGAUUGUGGAGUGUACGCUCUGACGUAUAUAAAAUGUUUAACUCUUGGGAAAACAUUCGACGGCCUUAGCGAUAGAAACAUACCAUCCAUUCGGACAAAACUAGCUGCAGAGAUUUAUGACGAAGUGGGAGAGCUAGUCUUACCAAAGGAUCCUGAUCCUUACUUUUGUGUUGGGAACAUAGAAGUCCCUCACCUUAUUGAUGAGGGAGAAUAGAUUGUUUUCGUUUGAUGUAAUCAUAUAGUAGCUUUUUCAUGUACUAUCAUUUUCUUCUUAUGUACUAGUCUUUUUCAUCUCGG